rnacentral:rRNA from 1 species
GUGCCAGCCGCCGCGGUAAUACGGAGGGUGCAAGCGUUGUUCGGAAUUAUUGGGCGUAAAGAGCGUGUAGGCGGCCGGGUAAGUCAGAUGUGAAAUCCUUCUGCUUAACAGAAGAAGUGCAUUUGAUACUGUCCGGCUUGAGUACGGGAGAGGAAAGUGGAAUUCCCGGUGUAGAGGUGAAAUUCGUAGAUAUCGGGAGGAACACCGGUGGCGAAGGCGGCUUUCUGGUCCGAUACUGACGCUGAGACGCGAAAGCGUGGGGAGCAAACAGGAUUAGAAACCCCCGUAGUCC